UACGUAGGGUGCAAGCGUUAAUCGGAAUUACUGGGCGUAAAGCGUGCGCAGGCGGUUGUGUAAGUCAGAUGUGAAAUCCCCGGGCUCAACCUGGGAAUUGCAUUUGAGACUGCAUGGCUAGAGUGUGUCAGAGGGGGGUAGAAUUCCACGCGUAGCAGUGAAAUGCGUAGAUAUGUGGAGGAAUACCGAUGGCGAAGGCAGCCCCCUGGGAUAACACUGACGCUCAUGCACGAAAGCGUGGGGAGCAAACAGG
rnacentral:rRNA from 1 species